rnacentral:rRNA from 1 species
GCGUGCGCUCAGGCUGGUCGGCCGUCAUGGUCUGUACCGUUUGGGUCACGCCCCACUGUAGGAUACUCACCGCUGUCCUUAACUGGGUGGCGGUCAAAGGUUGUAGUACUUUCUCUGGGGGCAACUCUGGAUGCUAUGACUGGGGUUCCUACUCUUUUACUUUGAGCAAAUUAGAGUGUUCAAAGCAGGCAAUCGAGCCUUGAAUACUUCAGCAUGGGAUAAUGGAACAGGACUGGGAUCCUGAUUUCGUUGGUUUCUAGGGUCUUAGUA